CAGUCGUACCGGCGGAUAAUCAGCCUUUCGGGUGCGAUUCUGUGGGGCGUGAGGAGCUUAACCGCUUUCAUGUUUUGCAUAUUCGUGCACAUUUGGUGUACUUGUCCGUGUGGUGGGUUAACAUCAAUUUCGGUCGUCAUAAAAUGACUGGAGGAAUGUAGCUUUGGUCUCGUAUCGAAGUGUUAUAGACUCUGGUAGAUGUGACGUAUUGGGGAUUUGGAGGUAUUGGAC
rnacentral:rRNA from 1 species